GCGUCGUUAGCGCAAUAGGCAGCGCGUCAGUCUCAUAAUCAAAUCUAGAAAUCUGUAGGUCGUAAGUUCGAUCCUCACACGGGGCA
rnacentral:tRNA from 1 species